GGCAUAGCCAAGCGGUAAGGCAACGGACUUUGACUCCGUCAUUCCCGGGUUCAAAUCCCGGUG
rnacentral:tRNA from 1 species